rnacentral:rRNA from 1 species
UUGAACGCUGGCGGCAUGCCUAACACAUGCAAGUCGAACGGUAACGGACCGCUGGGAUUCCGUUCGGGAUGACCUUGGUGCCGACGAGUGGCGGACGGGUGAGUAAUACUUAGGAAUCUGCCCAGUAGUGGGGGACAACAUUCGGAAACGGAUGCUAAUACCGCAUACGCCCUACGGGGGAAAGCGGGGGAUCUUCGGACCUCGCGCUAUUGGAUGAGCCUAAGUCGGAUUAGCUUGUUGGUGAGGUAAUAGCUCACCAAGGCGACGAUCCGUAGCUGGUCUGAGAGGACGAUCAGCCACACUGGGACUGAGACACGGCCCAGACUCCUACGGGAGGCAGCAGUGGGGAAUAUUGGACAAUGGGCGCAAGCCUGAUCCAGCAAUGCCGCGUGUGUGAAGAAGGCCUGCGGGUUGUAAAGCACUUUCAGUAGAGAAGAAAAGCCCAGGGUUAAUACCCCUGAGUCUUGACGUAACCUACAGAAGAAGCACCGGCUAACUCCGUG